rnacentral:rRNA from 1 species
AUUGAACGCUGGCGGCAGGCCUAACACAUGCAAGUCGAGCGGCAGCGGGAAAGUAGCUUGCUACUUUUGCCGGCGAGCGGCGGACGGGUGAGUAAUGCCUGGGAAAUUGCCCAGUCGAGGGGGAUAACAGUUGGAAACGACUGCUAAUACCGCAUACGCCCUACGGGGGAAAGCAGGGGACCUUCGGGCCUUGCGCGAUUGGAUAUGCCCAGGUGGGAUUAGCUAGUUGGUGAGGUAAUGGCUCACCAAGGCGACGAUCCCUAGCUGGUCUGAGAGGAUGAUCAGCCACACUGGAACUGAGACACGGUCCAGAGUCCUACGGGAGGCAGCAGUGGGGAAUAUUGCACAAUGGGGGAAACCCUGAUGCAGCCAUGCCGCGUGUGUGAAGAAGGCCUUCGGGUUGUAAAGCACUUUCAGCGAGGAGGAAAGGUUGAUGCCUAAUACGUGAGUAUUUUGACGUUACCGACAGAAUAAGCACCGGCUAACUCUGUGCCAGCCGCCGCAGUAAGAC